rnacentral:rRNA from 1 species
AGUGAACGCUGGCGGUAGGCCUAACACAUGCAAGUCGAACGGCAGCACAGUAAGAGCUUGCUCUUACGGGUGGCGAGUGGCGGACGGGUGAGGAAUACAUCGGAAUCUACUUUUUCGUGGGGGAUAACGUAGGGAAACUUACGCUAAUACCGCAUACGACCUACGGGUGAAAGCAGGGGAUCUUCGGACCUUGCGCGAUUGAAUGAGCCGAUGUCGGGUUAGCUAGUUGGCGGGGUAAAGGCCCACCAAGGCGACGAUCCGUAGCUGGUCUGAGAGGAUGACGACCACACCGGGAACAGAGCAAGGGCCCAGACACCGACGGGAGGCACAGGAGGGGAAUAUGGGACAAGGGGCGAAAGCCUGACCCAGCAAUACGGGGGGGGGAAAGAAGGCUUUCGGUUGCUAAAGCCUUUUUGUGGGAAAAAAAAAGCAGCAGGUUAAAACCCCCCUGUUCUGACGGGACCAAAAAAAUAAGCCCCGACAAACUUGGUC